CCUGCGGAGAGAACAAGGGGAGAUGAGCUUGAAGAUCACGGACCAGCACGACUGCACCUCGGGCAGAGCCAGUCAUCUGGAAGGGUCUACGCCCCACCAGUCGCUGGUUACCCAUGGCAGCAGCUCCAACUGCACUGUCCCCCAAAGACCCCAGGGCUCACAGGAUGAAAUGGGGCCUGCUGCCUUUUGGGGAUAUUUGUUUCCGAAUACGGAGGCUCCGAAGUGGGAAAGGAGCAUUUCAGCUGUGCCUGAGACCCCACACCUGAGCCCUUCCGCGCUGAGCCUGGCAGCGUGAGGACAAGCCAGGUCCUAGCCCCACACAGAGGAGGCACCGCGAGUCAGCAGCGUCUCCGAUCUGCUCCAAGCAUUUUCCAAAGCCCCAGGGGCUGCUUACAAGACUCUCUGCCCAUCACCCCCAACCUGGCUGAGCUGGGACCACAUCGACUCUUCUACCAAGAUGCCCUCCAAGACCAACACUGAUGCCCGAGUCCCCUCACCAGGGAGACUGGGGGUGCCCCUACGCAGCUGCUGCACCUGAUGUUGGAAGCGGAGGCUCCAAAAACGUGAGAAAACCGAGGCCUGAAAAGUGUCAACCCAAAAGACGCUCCUUGCCCCAAGCCCAGACGGCUGAGGAAGUAGGGAAGUGCGGUGGGAUCUGUCUUCCCGUGUGUCUUCAGGAUCCCGGGGCCUGCCCCUCCUGGUCUCCCUCAGAAGACCCACCUUUGGUCACAGGACGGAAGCUGGGCCGAGAGGCAAGGGUUUUGGCCUCCACAGGGGAAACUCUGGGCUCAGAGCUGCCGAAGUGACUCACGGGCCCUGCUGGGAAGCAGCUGACGUUCCUUGUCUGCGCCUUACAAAACCACAAUGGGCUGCGAGUGACAGCCAGCUGCUCUGAGUGGCGGAGGAAUGUUGUUGCCAGACAGGUUCCUGAGGCAUCUGCUGAGCUGUGCUCCAGAAACCAGCCCUGGGCAGCUGCCGCACCAAGCAGCCUCCACCCCUCCCCACAACCAGGACUCGUAGAGGGCACCCCCACCAACCUCAACAGAACCCUCCCCUCAGGGAUCCGUGGAAGUCAGCCACUGCCACAAGGACAGCCACCCAUUCCGGGCAGGAGCUCAUGGGAAACCAUGACCAGGGAACCCAUCCCUCCCCACCCCCAGCAAGACUUGAGGCCAGGGAGGUUGGAGGGGUCUCCCUAUGACCAAAUCUGUGGCCGUCACAACCGACCUUGAACCAUAAUACUAAGAAUGAGAACAAUAAUAAUCACAGCUAACCCUUCACACUCACUGCAUGCCGGGCACCAUGGCAUGGAGCGCUUUUUCUGGAUUAUCACAUGCAUUCAUUUCCUGGGGCUGCCGUAGCAAACUGCCACAAACUGCAUGACUUAAAACAACAGAAACGUAUUCUCUUGGCCAGGCGCAGUGGCUUAUGCCUGUAAUCCCAGCACUUUGGGAGGCCGAGGCGGGCAGAUCA